AACGAACGCUGGCGGCAGGCUUAACACAUGCAAGUCGAGCGCACCCUUCGGGGUGAGCGGCGGACGGGUGAGUAACGCGUGGGAACGUGCCCUCUUCUACGGAAUAGCCUCGGGAAACUGAGAGUAAUGCCGUAUACGCCCGCAAGGGGAAAGAUUUAUCGGAGGAGGAUCGGCCCGCGUUGGAUUAGGUAGUUGGUGGGGUAACGGCCUACCAAGCCGACGAUCCAUAGCGGGUUUGAGAGGAUGAUCAGCCACACUGGGACUGAGACACGGCCCAGACUCCUACGGGAGGCAGCAGUGGGGAAUCUUGGACAAUGGGGGCAACCCUGAUCCAGCCAUGCCGCGUGAUCGAUGAAGGCCUUAGGGUUGUAAAGAUCUUUCAGCUGGGAAGAUAAUGACGGUACCAGCAGAAGAAGCCCCGGCUAACUCCGUG
rnacentral:rRNA from 1 species